AGAAACUCUUUAUUUAAGUAUUUUUAAGGGGGUACCAGUAAUUAUGAGUAGAACAGUCUGGACAAAAUAUGAACUGCUUUUUCUUUAUGUCUUACUGCCUUUUACCUUCCUCCCAACUAUUUUUGAAACUUUAAAACUUGUUAGUCUUUUGAUUUUAUUCUUUGCUUCUUCUAUUCUUUUAGGCCCAAAGAGUCCAAGUUGUCCUCAGCAACUACUUUCACAAGCUGAGGAUUUGGAGAUUUGAGAUAUGUUUUUCUGUGGCUUUUCAAAUACCUGGGAAGUAGGAACGAAGAAGGAACUAGUCUGAUAAGUCAAUACUUUCUUUUUCUGCUGAUUUUCCAGGCAGUUUCUGGUAGUAUGUAAGAAUAUGCCCCUUUGCUGCUCAUCAGAGCAGCAUUGAUCAAUUCCUACUGCAUAUAUGCUGCAUAUGCUACUUUAAUACUCUAUUGCUGGAAACUAUUGGAAAUCUUAUUCAAAAGAAUUAUCUUUCAAAGAAGCAACAUAUAGCACCAACUUGUGUUCUUGUUGCCCUCAGUUAAUAAGAACGUACAAAAUCUGAAUUUUGCUCUUGGGCUGUGGUUCUUCUUACCCAAACCCCCGGCAUGAUAAAGAUGGUGUUUCAAGGCUAAUAGUUAAGAAACCAAAGUAGUUUCUCCAUCUGUCUUUGAAGCAGAAGCAAGCUUUGGUUUUCGCAGUUCUAUAUCACAAUGAACAAUAUGCCCAAGUAUGUACAAGCCAAAGAGACGACAGUUUCACAGAACAACCAAAUUUGAGACUGAGAUGCUCUCAGAGAUUUUUAAUCAUUAGCCUCUCAGAGGUACUCUUUGAUGGAUGUGAAGGAAUAUUUAUGUUUCUUUGUCCCUCUACAUUCCCUUUACCACACGCAUGUAAAGCAUAUUAAAAAGUUACCUCCAUGUUCUCAUUUAGAUUUGAAUGUCAUAUGUUUGCACUGCUAAUUCCUUCUUAAAACUGCUUGAUCUGCUCAUGAUGAUUUAUAUAUAUGUUUAAUAAAUAGUUUCUUUACAUGUUCUCCAUUGUUGAUUCUCUCAAUGAAUGAUUUUAACAGUACUGGGACUAAACUAAUAUGGAAAAUUGCUUUUGAGAAAAAGCAGGGGAAAAUGGUCAGUAAAUUAGUCUUCUGUGAUCUCUGGUCAAAACAGAGUUUUGCCAAGUGACAUUAAAUAACAACUGGGCAAGACAGAAACCUUGACAAAUAAGCUUUCAAAGCCUGUCCAGCUGUAAUGCCUCUUCUACUCCAUUAAUAAUGUUUCUAGGGUAUUUACUUAUAUGUUUUUCCUGGUAUAAUAACAAGAUUCUUUCAGCCUUAUAUUAGGCCUGACUCAAAGCAUAUUGUCACAAAAUGCCUAAAUUAUUAGGUUUCUUGUCUAGCUGAAAAUAUGUGGUCAAUCUCCUGGUUUUAUUCUUUAGCACAGCACAGGAAAGAGCAAGGGCUUUUUUUCUCUGUUGAAGCAGGGGAUUUCAGAGGUCUUGUCAAGACUCCUCACUCUGAUGAAUGUUGUUGCAGCCAGGUUUUUAUAUUAGUUUUCAUCAGUGCCAUAUCCAGGCAUUUUUGUGUUAACUUUGUGUCUGUAGAGCUGAUCACUUGAAAUACUCUCCACUGCUAACAAGUCAGUCUUUAGGUGAAUAUAUCCAAGUCAUAAAUCACUGUAACCUUAGAUAGGAAUGACCACAACAAUUAUUUACACCUCCUGUUCCUAUUCUUCCUAUGCCUUGCAUUCUACCUUACGUUCCUUGCAUAUUGCAGGAAAAGCAUUCAUGUUCCAGAAUGUAUGAAUCAAAUACAUCCAGUCUGCCUAGUUAUCUGUUAAAUUGAAUACAUACUGCAUUUUUAAGCUGGUUUCUCUGCUCCUUUUUUGUUUAAAUGAAGCAUAAAUUUUGAUUGACAAAAUUAGCAGACACACUGCAUGUUCUGCAAUCUCAUAGGUCACUGUAAAACUUUUUCAGUUUGCAAAUGCAAGUAUUAUUGGUGCAUUCCUGUUGUAACAUUAUUUACCAGUUGUAUGUUGGCCAUACAACUAUAAAUUUAAAUUUAUUUUGAUGUGAUUUGCCAUAAAACAUUUAAUAGACAUUUUGUUUCCUUGAUACUGAUGGUAAAUUAAACAGUUACUCAUUUCGGCAUUCUUUGUGCUGUUAGAGGCCUUUCGUUGCAAUUUGGAAGAAGGUGUGAUCCUCAGUUAAUGAGUUUUUAAAAUCAUGUGUUUUUUUUCAGUGCUUGGCACUUCACCUUGGAAGAAGGAUAGUUUUUUUGUACUAAAUGAGAGUGAAAGUACUGCAGUUCAAAUUAGACAUGAUGUACAGAUGAGACAAAACUGUAAUGUCUGGGAGCACACUUUCAGGGUAGCACUCAGAAAGCUGCUGGAAAACCAAGAGAACAAAUGCAGCCAGAAAUGUAACCAGCAAUAUGGUUCCACUGAGCCCUAUGGUGUCUGUGCCUGUUGCUGCUGCUAUAGGAGCACUCCUCUGAGAUGUCGCUAUCAUUUGAAGGAGCGAAUUCCCUUCAUCAGUUCCGAAAUGAUGGGUGCACAGCUCCCCCUGCAGCCCAGCACCUUCUCUCCAAAAACCAUUGGGAUCACAAGAAUGGAUGCUUCUGGUUUUUGAUGACUUUGUCACUGGAAAAGACGUUUUGCACCAGUGGGGACUUGUUCUUGUCUGUAAUAAACUUGCAGGUUGACAUUGUUCCCUCGAGUUACAUUAGGGAUUCUGAUCUCAGUUCAGGUAUUUUGUUUUCCUGUUUUUUGGGGUUUUUUGGGCUUGGUUUCGUUUUGUUAUUUUUUUUCUUUCAUUUUGGUGUCUCGAGACUGGCUCCCUGCAUGUUUCUUCUUGGAACUCUCUGCAGGCCACCCCAGGUUUUCCACAGAUGAGUAUAUUUCUUAACUUUAAAAGUAAAAGCCAUCCCUCCCUCUCCAUGGACCAUUCUCUAUUUUCUCUCUCUUCCUUCACUGCAUUGUACCCUCUGGUUAGUUCAGUCUAACUGAAAUAACACAGACAGGAUCCUCUUGGUUUUGCUUCCCACUGAAAUGACAGUGUAUCUUUUACCUGUGUUUACUUUCUGGCUGCAUUCCACUCCUUUAGUUUUAUACCACCUUUCUCCCCUCCUUUAUGAAGAUUAUUUGUUUUGAUAUGCAACUUUUUACAGGAGGAGAGUGUCUUAGAAGGUGGAGGUCAAAGACAGGCAUGCAGAAUUUGGGAAUUCAGUCCUCACACAGUGUAACUGAGGGUGCAGGGAGCCGUAUUCAAAUGGAAAAUUGAAAGCAGUACUUUGGCUGCUUUGAUUUUUUUCAUCAAGCAACCUUCCCUGAUCCUGAACCUGCAUGCAUAGAAAAAUUGUCUUGGAUACUAAUUCCUGGAUCAUAAGUGUUUGCCUGUGCAGAAUAACAAAGGUACAAACUGAUGGUUCCCUUAGGUAAACAAUAUUACAGCCUUGUGAAAACACAUAUUUAAAAUAACCCAACAAAAACAUGGCCUAAUUUAAUUUUGCUUAGUUUGUUUCUGCAACGUAUUAAACUAAACCAAAUUUAGGUUGCAUUUAUGCUAGGCUUUUAAUGUGGUUCAACUAAUCCUCUUGAUAGGAUAAUUCAGAUGAAUUUUCCUGAGUGUGCUGUGUGGAUGAGACAUGACACACAGCACCACGCUGUCCAGUUAUAUUCUCUCAGGAGACCAAAAUGUAUAGUCAUGGCAGUGAACAGCAAGUGACUACAUACAGAAAAAAAAGGUCAAAAGCAGUAAGAGCACUGGGAGCAAGUCAGAAUCAGGAGAGGCAGAGGAACUGUUGUGGUGGGCGAGUCUGCCACGUAAUGGCCUUUAUUGCCACUUUAAAGCCCACCAAAGGGACCAAUUAGUGACCAGAUAUGUGCUUGCUGAAGGUGGCUCACAUGAGAGGAAGAGCCAAGAAAGUAAGGUUUUGGGGACAGAUUCUGGAAUCUUUGUUGUGAUCAAGGGAAAUCACUAUGCACAGGAGAAUGUAAAAUUUGGAGGUUGAUCCUGAGUCUGCAUAUGAUGUUGGCACUUCCCAGAGGAAGAAAGCAGUUUGCAGGAGUUUUAAUGAUUUCCAGCAUCUCCACUUCCCAUUUAUCCUACCAAGCUAGAGUGUGGAGACCUUAGGAGCAACACCUUUUAGUAACAAAGUUCUUGUGCUUUCAGCUAAAGGUACUAAGUGUAAACGUCCUAUUUGUGGAUUGCACACAAUGCAUUUUGACAGCAUGGUUUUACUAAUUAUUGCAUUUGUUUCAUAUUUAUAGAUGGUUAACUCUGCUAUUGAAAGGGACCCAUUUAGCCAUCUCCUAGAAGAGGUGGCUUCCAUUUCCUGAGGACCUAUCAGUGUGGUCUGGAGGAGAAUUAUGAAAGGCACCCUGAGAUACUUUCUCUCAUGUCUCUGCUUCUGCUUUUCUAAGAAAGGAGAAAACAGCAGAGGACCAGAAGAACCAAACCUGUUGUGACAGCAUCCCAGGAAGCUGCCUGCUGGGGAGACACAGGAGUAGGGAAGACCUGUCUGACUGUGGGAUCUCCUGCUGUAGUUCUGCAGAAAGCCAUUUCAUGACCACUUGCCUGUCGUGUAUGCUGGAUUGAAAUGGUUUUUAUUUUGCACAGGCUGAAGAUGGUGAAUUGAAACAAACAUAAUAAGAGUGGCAGCCAAAAACAAGGACAUUUACAAAGGAUAGUUAUUGCUUAGAUUAUGAAUAUCAAAUUUCUAUUGACAUGAAAAAAUUACAUCUUACAGAGAUUUUAUAAGUGUUGUCAUUCACAAUGAAGUAUAACAGAAAAGAUUUUACUCUCAGCUGCCUGUAGAAUUAAGUCACAUGAGCCAUUCUUCAGAGAAAUGUGAAGCUGAAACUUAGAAGGAUGCAAAUUUCUAUGUAAAAAUAGUGUCAUUCCCCUUCCUUGAAUUUGGUUCAUGGAGAAUUGCUAUAUAGGAAAGACCAGUGGGGAAUGUAAAGUUCUCUGGGGGCAGAAAGAGUUUCCAGUUCCCCACUCACUUGUUCAGCUUCAUUCGAUGAAGAAUGUCCCUGCCAGGUUACAUCUUGCUGAUCCAAACCCAACUCAGUUGUGGCUGCGAUUUGUUGCUGCAAGACAAUACUGGCAGAAGAACAAAUGUAUCCCAUGAAUUAAUUCAGGCUGAUAAUUAGAAGAGAGUUUUUAACCAUCUGGAAAAGAAGGCAGCCUGCAGAAGGUUGUGGAACCACCUUCAGAAGAAUAUUGGAAUGAAAUGGUUGAAUUUUUUUUUUAAGAUGGAGCUUGACAGUCUUCUCAAUUAAAUUGUUCAGGACAAUCAUCUGCAACAAUGAGGGUGGGUGUAGAAAUAAAAAAGUUUGUGCUGUGGUGUUCUUCCCUUUGUGCAAUAAAAAGGCAUGAGAUGCUGGUCCAGAAGGAUGAACAUCUGUGUUAUGGAAUGCAGAUGAUGAAUGUGGAGGCCAAGAACAGGAUGGACAUGGAUCACUACUCCUUACAAAGCAGAGGUGAGCAGUUACCCAUCCCAGUCCUGCUUUGCUGCAGUUGCAUGGAAUUUCUGCUGUCAUUAGUGGAAAAAAGAAGACAUUGUUAGCCAAGAAGUGGCUUCUAAGAGUGCCUUUAGAGACACUUCUGAGAGUCCUUUCUAAUGAUUAUACUGGAACUGCUAGAUGCAAAUGGCAAUUAGAUUAAGAUUAACAGAGCAAAUAGGAGUCUCUUUAGUCUCCUGGAGAGGAAGGCUAUGUUUCCCAAGAAGAGGGCUGGUAGACUGGGGGGCUGUACUGAGUUAAGAGAAAUUGCAAGGGUUGGCAUUUGCUACUCUGCCCCAAAUAGUACUCAUUGUUUAUUGGUUUGGCUGCACAAUUCCUUCCUCAAAAUUUCAAAAGAUGGCAGGCAAGUUCAUGGCAACUCAAUACACUGACAGCUGCUGUUCAUUGCCUUGAGCACAACUUUUGGCUCAGGAACACUUAACCUGCUGAUUAGCAAAGUUUAGGGGACAGGCAAGGCAUGGAUAUGCUCACUUGUCAGGCACUGUACUGUCUCUAAAGAUUCACUGCUACCACUUAUCAGAACUGGGGCUCUGAAACUGGUAGUCUACAAGCCUCCCUCACUAUGAAGCCCCUAUUUGUUCCUGCUCUUCAAAUGCAUCUUUCUCUCUGACUUUCUGCUCCAAAAGAAAUAGAUUUGAAGAGUUUUGAAAAGUCAGUGUAUCAAUUUACGUUUUCAAAACUAUAGCUUGUAUUACCAAGAGCCAUACAGGAAUAUAGAUGAUUAUUCAUCUUCCUCAAGAGCUUUUGCAGGAAACCUCCCAAGAAAAGUAAUCCAAUGGAAAAAUCUAUUAAUAUUUUUGUUUAUACAAUUCAUUUGUUCCCUGGAAUAUACUGAGUUGCUAAGAGUUUAUGAAGUCUACUUUUCUUGUGAUUUUGCCAUAAAAAAUGGAGCAGUCCACCAUAAUUUUAGUUAUGCUAAUUCAACAAGGUAGUAAACUCUCACUGAUUUUAGCAACAUCAGCUUAUUGUAAACCUGAAUCUUUUAUUUACCUAACAAUCUUUAUUGUUGACUAUCAUUAGAUCACUAAGUAUAAUUAAAAUAUUGUGGCUAGUACCAUUUCUAUGAUAUUUUUAAUAACAGCGAAAUGCUACUGAAUCAGCUAGCCUCUUGAACUCCUACAUAUAACAGACUAUUACUUUUAACUAGAACUUCAAAAAGCUUGUGGUAGGUCGAAAUGUUUUUGUUCCUUCUCCCCUUCCUGACUGCUUGAAGCUCCUUAGGUGAUAGAAAACAGUGUAAUAUUUGUUCACAUCCUUAAACCAUUAUUUGCUUCUGCUUUCACCCGCUUUCUAGAAUGAUUUCCUUAAUAUAUAUUGGCUUUCCAAGCUAAGAGAUAUAUUUAAAUUGAUUUGUUCAUGUGAAGGGGAUGCCUUUUUUGUAAAGAAAGCUCUUUAUGUGGAGAAUUGCAGUGUGGGACUACAUGUUUUUUUUUACAGCAGCAUAAACUUGGAGGGGAAAAUCCUGAGAGCAGUCAUUUGUUUUCUCUGGGUUAAUGGCUUUCAGCUGGAUGUCUGUCUGCUGAAUAAUGACUGUACUGCUACAUCAACCAGUCUCUUCCACUGCAAAACAUGUGUUCACUUAAUGGCAUUGACAUAUUGGAAGCUGGAAUGAGCCUCCCCACUUGAGUUGUUCAAACAUGAUACAUCCUUCUAGAAUGAAAUUAAAUAAGGAGAUGUGACAAAAGAGGAGGAUUCAAGGGAGAUUAUAUUGUUCUGAAAGUGCAGCAUCAAAGACACUUUGGUUUUUGACAUCUCUUGUUCUGCUCGUUAUUUAAUCAUUCCCAUCCUGAGUAUUUAUUUUCUAAAGGGAAAAAUUGGUUUUCAGAUUUCAAGUCUUAUGUUUUUGAUCUUUAGUAUAUGCUUGUACUACUGAGUGAUGUGGAAAAAAAAAAUAAACAGUAGAAAGCUUGAAGUACUCUCUAGAAAUGCUGAGAGCAAAAUUUGAAAAGUACUCAAGCGGCCAUAAAAUGUCACGUCCCUUUCCCAUUUAGUCAUAGGAUUAAGUUAUCCAAGUCACAGAUACAAUUAUAGAAAAUAUCCUGAGUUUUCUAUAGCAGGGAUCAUACAUGGGUGUAAAAUAAGUAACCUGGCUGUGUCAUAAAGUACAUAGGUUUGUAAAAUCAUUUUGAUUUUUUUGUAAUUACAGGUGGGAAAAUGCAUUGUAAGCAAUUAAAAAGGAAACAAAUUGCCUAUAACAAUUCAAGGGUUGAUUUGAAUAGUUAUUGGUUUGCUUUUGCCUUUCACCUGCAUGAGGGAAGCUGAUUAUAAUUUGAAGACUGAAACUGGUUUGUUUUGGCAUGACAGAUUUCCAUUUAGGCAGGCUGGCUUUUCCUUUUGUUUCACCCCCAUCUGGCAGCCUCCUAGGUGGGCAGAGGUGCUCCAAGUAAUGUGAGCAGGGGCACUAAGCAUGCAGAAAGUGGCAGUGGGAAUUGGUGAGGUCCCAUGUGAAAGUUCAUUGGCCUCCCAGACCUGCAUUCCAGAAAUGACAAAAGCCAUCCAUCUUGUGGGUGCAGACCCUUUGGGUUUGCUGACAGUAAUAAUUCCACCACUAGCUCUCCAGUAACGCAUUAGCAUUAACAGUAAUUUUUGCCUCUAGACAGGCUCUGCAGUACAGCAUGACGGUUCCUACCCUGUAAUUGUAGGAUCCUCAUUAAUCAGAAAGAAUAUUAUGACAUUGUGAGCUCACAAGAAAGACAAUUCAUGACUGACAUAAUAAAGGCCUAAAUUAUGCUGCUUUGAUGACUGGAGGUGCAAUUUUUUUUUUCUCUUGUGAAAAUAGGAUUUAGCAGCUGUAUGAAAAAAAAUCUGUAUAAUGAAAGUAGGGAGCAUUGAGAGGCAAGCAACACCAGCUUUAUCUAGAUGAGACCUUUAUUUCAAAAGGAAAUUAAAAUUUCAAAGCUGGUAGUGUUUUGGUUUUUUUUUUUAUAGAUAAACCAGAAUUUAAAUCAGGAUCUUGAGGAAGAACUAUGUGAGAAGCUCAUUGCUACAGCACUGUAUUUAGUAUUUUGCUGCUAUUACUCUUUAAAAUUAUAGAAAUUUGUAUAUAUUUUUGGCCAGCUUCCAAAAUAUGUUUUGACAUAUAUGAAAUAAUUAAUACUGAAACACAUCUCAUAAAUUUAAUGCAAUUAUAUAUAGACAUAUAUUCAUUAGGAGCCAAGGAUUGUAAAUGAUAAAUGAAGAAGAGCAAAAAAAAAAAAUAAAUUGUUAAAUCUAAGUUUCUUCUUCCACUGAAGGUGUGUGAACAAACUCAUUCAGUUCCUAGAGUAAACCUGAAGGCUCUUUCAAUUAGCACUGCUUUAACUGAAACCAAUCCAAUGGGAAGCCAACAUCCCUGAAAGACAGAGGGCUGGAGACUGAGGAGGUGGUGGGCCCCAGAGGAGGGCUUUGUCUUGGGUGGCUGUAUGUGAUGGGCUCUGUGUGCUCUGUGUCCUGUGAUUAACAGGGAAAUUCAUCAAAACUGUGUUUUCUCUUCAGGGAUUCCUUCCUCCAGAGCAGGCUGACUGCAGUACUCAUGAUCCAAGUAACUAAUAACUUAAAUAAGCAUUUAAGAUUCUGGGAGAGCCCCCAGAAGUCCCUUCUGAGCUGGGAUCCUCUCAUGCUCUGGCGUUAAAUGACUUAUUCCAGGUGCUCAUGUCUAUCCAUAGAUAUUUACAUGUGUUUUUAAGUAUAGCCCUGACUACUCAGGCAGAUUUCUUCUGAGUGGAUUAAAAAUUGCUCUCUUUUCUUGAAAAAUGAUAGUUGAGGAGAAACAAGGGAAAAAAGUUAUUUCUGAGUAUUACACUACCUUUGCCCCGGAUGAAAUAUUCUGCAUGCUGCCCCCUUGACCAUUGUUUUUGUUUGCUUGAGAUUGUGACAUAUAGAAGAGUCAAAAUUAGCCAUUGAGCAUAACUGAUGAGGAAAAUAGCAAUUUUAGUUAAAAAAUACUUCCUGUAAUGUUUUUGAUGGUGUUGGUGGUACAUAAAUGAUUUAAAACAAGUGUGUACAGAGUCUGUUUCAGGAGUGAUUCCAGGAUAGUUCAUAUAAUUCUUGUUUUCUUCAUGGCUCAUCCCAUGAUUUAAUGAUUCUGUGCACACUCUGGCACUACCUAGGACACAAUCUGAGAGGAUACCUAAAAUUUCAAUUUUCUUUAAGACUAGACUGGGAUUCAGGGAUAAAUCCACCAUGGCAUUUUGUCUUCCUAUAGCCACAGAGGAGUGAUUAUGUAGGAACAGCUUAGCAGUGCCAGAUCAAGUUAGAUGUGUCCACUUUAGGAGUUGGUGGCUUUGCCCUGACUCUGUUUUUGAAGCCAAUCUCCCAUGUGUCCACCUUGCUGUGUUGGGCUUGCACUGGGGAGCAGCCCCAGAGGGUGCAGAACCUUCCCACAACCUUCACCCAGAAGUGGAGUUUCCAAUACUCGGGGGCCAGAAUGGUGUUAAAUUGAUCUAAACUUUCCCUAAAAUUCAUGCAGUGGGAAUGUCAGGUUUUCAGCAUCAGAGAUUUUAGACUAUAAAUCUGUUCCUAUGGGGAUGUGCAGCUUUUAUCAAAGAUACAAGAUUCUACCUACAAAGAUACUGCCUUGGAUGCUACUUUCCACUGAAAUCCAGUGGCAUGUAGCAGUAUUUCAAAUCCUGCUGGGUGUCUUUGUAAAUAACAUUAAGAAAAUAUACUCAAUAUCUGAAUUUAUUUUUUUUUUUAAUACAACUGACAGCUAUUUACAUCUCAAAUUCUUGCAGUUGUAUUUUUGCUGCCUUCAGGACUCUACCAUCUGUAGUGAUCUUCAGUCUCAGGCAUUUCUUUAGCUCAAACAUUAGCUCAUUCUUGGGGGAGUGCUCCAGAAGUGUGCAGCACUCAGGCCGUGGGACUUCUGUGCUUGUUUCAGUGAUCACAUAGAGAUGGUAUGAAAACACAGGGAUCCAGCUGGUUCCCAUGGUAUCAAGACAAAAUGACAUGGAGUGGGGAAUUCCUUCUGAGAGACUAAGAAACAGGAAGAUAUCUCUAUUAAAAUCUCAGUCACUCACUUUUUUGUUACACUGGGCUUAUCCUAGAAAUAUAUGAAUCAGAGUCUUGUGAGAGGCGGCCACUGUUGCUUUUUCCAGUUCUUCUUGGAGGCAGCUGCCACGUUUCAUCACACUGACCUGGGGUCAAAGAAAUAUAGGGCAUAAAAAUGGUCAUAUUCAGCUUCACCUUGAAGAGUCUCAUGGCAAAGACCUCUUAUUCUAAACUUUAUCUAGAAAGGUGGAUCUAGUGAAGUACCAUAGAAACAACAAAAUCUAUUUUGAUGUUGUCUUUAAAAUCACAAUGUAUGUUCAUUAAUUUGAAAGAUACUUAAAAUUAAAUAUGUAUAGAUAUUUAAAAAAAUUAAAUAUCCAAAAUGAAAAAUUAUUUCUGUUAUUGGAAAUGAUUAAUUUUUCCUCUCGCCCAACUCUUCAGACUUGCAUAAUGUGACUAAAAUAGCUCAAAUGAAGACUUACAACGAUACAGUUGUGCUCAUUUGGCUUUUUUUUCUCUAUUAGUGAAAAUUAAUCUUCUCUGAUCUCUUCAACUAUAUUGUAUGCUGCUUAAUGACCAGUAUUACUGAUGUCAUAGAGAGGUUCACCAAACUGCUAAAACAGCUAAAUACAAAGAGUGUGAAAAUUCAAGCAGGCAUGAUUCAUAUUGGUUGGUGGUAUCCGCAGCUGUGCAUAUACCUGUUCUUCCUAAUUGCCCUUCCAAAAAUUGAAGUUCAAGAUAUAUUAAUAAAAAUGGGUUUUAAUUGUCAUCUUGUUUUUGGGGAUUGUGCCUGUAAAUUAUCAUGCUUUAGUAAUAUAAUUAUUUCAUUUUAUCUAAGUAUUGUGAUGUGUAAUAUUAAUUUAUUAAGUUUUAUUGUGUACUAAUAAAUGUGCUAACAAUAAUCAUAUGCUUAAAAUAAUUGCUACUGCAAUAAAAGUAACAAUUAAAAAACUACCAGAAAGACAGUCCAACAGUUUUUCUCAGCAGCUGGACAAGUUCUCUUCUUCUAGGUCUUAUCAGCAGUAAAAAGAAGUUAAUGAAAACUUUUGCAGACUUACUGGUUGCAGGGAAGGAAUUACUUCCAUUAUACACAGAAGAAUGAAAUCCAUUUAAUCUCUUUUAACUCCUGACUCCUCAGCAACUUGGAUGGCUUGAAGAUUUCAAUCUACAUACACAGUACAGGUACUGUUCUUGGUUUCAUGAAAUGUUUCAAUAGACUCUCUACUUGCCCAAAAUUUAAAAUUGGCUUUAUGAAAACCACUGCCCUGAUAGAUAUGCAUCUGACAGGAAAGGGCAUCAUUUAACAAUAAUUUCCAAUGAUGUAAGUCUAGAAAUACUAAUGGAGGUAAUUAUUUGCCAAUAGACUUUAUUAAAGCUUUAGUAUAUCAGUCUCCAUAAUUAGUCUGUAUGAGGACAGCAUCUGGCUCUUCAAAUCUCUCUCCGAUAAAGGCACUGAAGUAGAAGUUCAGGUUUCUACAGACUCAGUUUUUUAUGCUGUACAUACUUUUUCGAAAUCACAGUAGGACAAGUUUUUUCCUUGUUUUUUAGAUUUUCAGGUUUGUAUGGAUCUCCAGAUCAUUUAAAUAUGAUAUAUUAGAUACUCUUGCCUAUUCUUACUUUUGUUUUUAUGUCCCAGUUCUUCCUUGUUGCCUGUCACAGUAGGCUUUAUGACACAGAUCCCAAUCACAGCUAAUCCUAUUAAAAGCUCCAGUUAUUUGAAAGCAUGUUCAUUGGCAAGGACUUAAAAAUAUAGAAAGUGCUAUCAGAAUGCUGUGAAGUCCUUGCAGAAAUUUUUGAUCAUUGGUCUAUCAUUAACAAAAACAACAAAAAAAGAUAUAAUCAAGUAGCUUUUGGGAAAAUUCAACCAAAAGAGCAGAUAAAUUUUUGGAAAUAUUUUUGUUGUUUUUUUUGUUUUUGAGCUCUAUAAAGGCCAAUAUCUGGCAACAGCAACUGGACAGAUGGGUCAAGCUUGACUGGCCUGUUCAUCACACUAAAGCAAUACAGCAAUAUUCAAGCCCUUCUCCUUUCAGCACAAGAAUGGGUUCCUAUAUUUUCAUAACUCAGCAGACGGGUGGAGUUUGUUUGCAAAUCCAGACUCCUGCAUUGUGUAUUUUAUCUUUCCACAGCAUUGCUAAGGACAAGAAAAUUAUCAAUUUUCUUGUCCUUAGAAAUGGCAGAAUUGGCAGUGAAUUUAGCACAAAACGUUGCAAUACGAAUCUUACUUGCAAAAAUCUGCCUUAGAAGCACUGUGGGACAAUCACAGCCUUUUAGCCACAUAAUUACUGCUCCAGAAGCUUCAUCAUCUUGUUAACAGUUUCUAUUGUCCUUCUAUUGCAAAUAUAUAUUUUUUUGACGUGAUAAAUGUAUUUUAUGAAAUUUCAUAAUGGAGAUGGCACUUCAUCAUGCAAUAAAAGGUUUGGUAAUAUCAGGUCUUGCUGAAAUAGCUAAUUGUGUUGCAUUAUCAUAUUACAUUAACAGCACUUGGGAAUUUAAAUAAAGAACUCUUGUCCAUACAGCAAUGGCUGUUAUUCAGAAUUAGUGUGGUGUCAGCUGGAAUGCCUAUUUAAAUGGUUGAGCAUAAAUAAUUUUAUCAUUUUUUCUUUGUUUCUUUCCCCCUUCCCUGAUGUGAUCUGGGUAGUGUCAUAAAAGAAUGGAUUCGAGGUCUGUCCUUCUAUUGCAUCUUGGAAAAGGAGUAAGAUAAAAGUGUUUUUCCAUGUUUUAAAUUUAAGUUUUACUUCUAGAUUAUCAAUCUGAAAGCACAUCAUGUUUACUGAUGUAGUCUUAUCUAAAAGGU